AGGCAGAAUUAUCUUUUAAAAACUUUGCAUAUGAGGUGCUUGAUAAAAGCUAGUUGGAUUUGAAUUUGGCCACAGCUCAGAUAAUCUGGGGAACUGGGGUGUCUGCUAAGGAUAUGUGACCAUCUGCUGGUGUAAACCUUUCAGAUGAUGGGGAAGCCGGGCAUCACGGAGAGCUGAGAAGACUCGCUUGUUCACACUUACUCGAAAGCAGAAGAGGCCUGGGAACUUCAGCUGGCGACUCUGGUGUUUCUGACUUUGGCUAUCAGCAAACACUGCUGGAGGCUCUGCCCCGUCCACACCCAGCUUCUGUGAGCACGGAGGAGGCAUAAUCUGCAAAGUCUGACACAGGCCAUGCCUAACCAUCCUUGACUGGCUACCUCCAGUGACAUAAAACUGAGAAGCAAAGACACCCAGGAGGCAAGGCUGCAGUCAUUUAGGAGAGUGGACGGAUGCCAGGGCUGUGCUGCCUGCAGCCUUUGUGGGGCUCAGUGACCAGAGGAGCAGCCCAUGCCAAGCCUAGUCCCCAGGGAUGCUGCCUGCGGUGCUCACGCAUCUUAUACAGGGACACAGAGGAACUCUGGGCUCCACCCUGCAGCCUCUGCUCCAGCACGCGGUGGUCCCAGGAGAUGUAGAACCAGCCCUUCCUCUGCAGUUGCACUGGGACUGGACCUCACUGUGGGAACAACAAGAUCAACAAGAGGAGCAAGAACAACAUCAAGAGUUGGGGCCUGGGGGUCCUGACGGGUACAGGAUGGGUACAGACCCACACAGGAAUCCCAGAGUGUGUUCCACAGCAGGACACGCCUGCGCUGAAAGAGUGGGCAGAAAGGAGCUGACCUGGGAUUAUGAUCCAAACUCAGCUGGGCCUCCCCUCCCUGCCCCAGGAUUGUGGAGUGAGAACGUUGCAGCAGGAGAGAACAACGCAGCAAAGCACAGCAGGGGAACCGGAAAUGCUCACCUUUUGACAGGGUACUUUUAGUUCUGGGGCCUUAUCUUAAGGAUAUUCCAACAUAUACAAAAAGAUUCAUGCACAGAGAUAUUUACUUUAGUAUUAUUUACCAUAGGAAAAAAGUUGGAAACAAUACAUUUUAUGUUCUGUAAAAUGAAAGAACAGUUAAAUAAAUCAUGGCUCUAAGACGACUCCAGGGCUGUGUACGGAAGUUCAGGGACAGAAUCAGUUGAGGCUGUUCCACCUGAGCCUAAGCUUCCUCUGCUGUAUGUCGGGAAUCAGGUGGGGGCCAAGCGAGAUCACCACAGUGCAGGCCAGUGUGCAGGGCACAGGUGGGCGCCAGGGAGGGGACGCCGCACAGCCCCAUGCUCUCGCCAAAAACGUGCAGCACAAUUUGGAAGAAAACAUUUCCAUCUGUUAAUAAAGAGCAACGGCCUCUGGUCAUAAG
ensembl:lncRNA novel transcript